rnacentral:rRNA from 1 species
CCUACGGGUGGCAGCAGUGAGGAAUAUUGGUCAAUGGGCGGGAGCCUGAACCAGCCAAGUCGCGUGAGGGACGACGGUCCUAUGGAUUGUAAACCUCUUUUGUCGGGGAACAAAGGCGCCCACGGGUGGGCGGAUGAGUGUACCCGAAGAAAAAGCAUCGGCUAACUCCGUGCCAGCAGCCGCGGUAAUACGGAGGAUGCAAGCGUUGUCCGGAAUUACUGGGUGUAAAGGGAGCGUAGGCGGGAAAGCAAGUUGAAUGUUUAAGGUACGGGCUCAACCUGUACAAGCGUUCAAAACUGUUUUUCUUGAGUGGAGUAGAGGUAAGCGGAAUUCCUAGUGUAGCGGUGAAAUGCGUAAAUAUUAGGAGGAACACCAGUGGCGAAGGCGGCUUACUGGGCUUUAACUGACGCUGAGGCUCGAAAGCGUGGGUAGCAAACAGGAUUAGAUACCCCUGUAGUC